UUAUUGUCAUGUUUACCUGAACUUGGUAUUGUAAGAUUAAUAACUAUUUUGAAGUUUUAUACAGAUUAUAUGUUGAAUUAGUGUCAAGAAUUAGCUAUUUCCACUUAAUUUCAUUGUACUUUUAGAUCUUUGUGUUACAAGGAACCAGUUAUAUAGCUUAAUUUGAUGUGGGUAUUCAGAGACUCAUUUUGAGUAGAAGGGAUCUAAUUGCUUUGAGUUUUCUAGUAGAUCUA
rnacentral:lncRNA from 1 species